UAGGGAAUCUUCCACAAUGGGAGAAAUCCUGAAGCAGCAACGCCGCGUGGAGGAUGAAGGGUCUAUGACUUGUAAACUCCUGUAAAGAAGGAAAAAAUUCCCAUUUGAUGGGAGAUGAUGGUACUUCUGGAGUAAGCCCCGGCUAACUACGUGCCAGCAGCCGCGGUAAUACGUAGGGGGCAAGCGUUGUCCGGAUUUACUGGGUGUAAAGGGUCUUCAGGCGGAUUUGUAAGUCAGAGGUGAAAUCUUACAGCUUAACUGUGAAACUGCCUUUGAUACUGCAAGCCUAGAGUAUGGAAGAGAGUGAUGGAAUAUCUGGUGUAGCAGUGAAAUGCGUAGAUAUCAGAUAGAACACCAAUGUCGAAGGCAGUCACUUGGUCCAUUACUGACGCUAAAGCACGAAAGCGUGGGUAGCAAACA
rnacentral:rRNA from 1 species